rnacentral:rRNA from 1 species
UACGGAGGGGGCAAGCGUUGUUCGGAAUCAUUGGGCGUAAAGGGCGCGUAGGCGGCCGGCCAAGUCGGGUGUGAAAUCCCUCGGCUCAACCGAGGAACUGCACUCGAUACUGGCUGGCUCGAGUCCGGGAGGGGAUGGUGGAAUUCCCAGUGUAGCGGUGAAAUGCGUAGAUAUUGGGAAGAACACCGGUGGCGAAGGCGGCCAUCUGGACCGGAACUGACGCUGAGGCGCGAAAGCCAGGGGAGCGAAUGGG